UUUAGCUUUGUGGUGCUCCUUUCAACUUCCUGUCUUGUUCAGCUUCAGAAAAACAGUAAAUAUGUCACUUGAAACAUCGUGUUUUGGUAAUUCCUUAUACAAAAGAGAAGAGUUUAACUAGAACAAAAAAAUAUGUUUUCAAUUAAGUUAUCCAAACAUAUUCAUAAUUAAUUAUUAAAAUAACAAAUCUAGUUUUAAAAUACAAUUCAUUCAACAAAAAGUAUCCACCCAAACUAAUGGUGAAAACUGAUCAUCACACCAUCUCUAUCUGAUACAUGUUGUGCCAUCUCAUUCUCACAGAAACUGCAGAGGGAAGCAGUACCACCCAGUCAACCAGCCUCACAGAGGGUAUUCAACCCUAAAGGCAAAUCUAAGAUGCUUCCGGUGUUCGUUGACUCCGCUGAGGGUGCAGGUACCGAGACCAAAACCCCAAAGAGCAAUGCAGAAGCACAGUGGUAGUAAAUACUCCCUAGAAGGAAGGAACCUAGGAAUAAACCUAGACAGCAACCAGGCUCCGAGCAGUGGCCAGGCUCUGGCUGGGCCACUCAAGGAUAUUACGAGACUUGCCCAGAAGCCCCUCCUGCGUUGUCUUGACUGUGUGUUUAGGGUUGUUGACCUGUUGGCUGGUGAACCUUAACCCCAGUCUGAAGUCCUACACACACUCUGGAGCAGGUUUUCAUCAAGCAUCUCUCUGACAUCUACUGUCAACUGUGGGACCUUAUAUAGACAGGUGUGUGCCGUUACAAAUCAUGUCCAAUCAAUUUAAUUUACCACAGGUGGACUCUAAUCAAGUUGUAGAAACAUCAAGGAUAAUCAAUGGAAACAGGAUGCACCAGAGCUCAAUUUCAAGUCUGAUAGCCAAAGGUCUGAAUACUUAUGUAAAUAAGUGUUUGUUUAAAUUUGUGUUUUUUUUUCAAACAUUUCUAAAAACGUGUUUUCAUUGGUAUUAUGGGGUAUUGUGUGUAGAUUGCUGAGGAAAACGUUUUAUUUAAUACCUUUUGGAAUAAGGCUAUAAAGUAACAACAUGUGGAAAAAGUCAAAGGGGUCUAAAUACUUUCGAAAGCACUCUAACUAAUUUAGAAAAACGGGAUUGUCUUCUUGUCCUCCUUUUUAAUGUUACAAAUAACAAUGAAUAUCAACAACUCUGUCUCUGUUAUAUGUUUCUUUCUAGUAGGCAUUUUCCCAUCUUGGAGUCUGAGACCUUGUGGAAAUCUGUCGUGGAGAAGAAUAAUGUAUGACAAUUUAGACACUACGUUACCCUAUAGUAGUUUUCAUCAUCAUGCUUUCCAUGGUUUAAGCCUAUAGCUAGCUAUGCCUUGCUAACUAGUUAUUGUGUAAUCCAGCUAGCUAUAAAAGUGCAUGCUAACACGAAAGAUAUGUAUAACUAACCCAAGAUUGACCACACCCUGUUUCCAAUGGGGAACUUUUAUUAUGAAGGCAAGCCGUAAAUUCCACUGAUGUGGAUAAUCGUUAUUGUGGCUAGCUUCACACAAAGGUGAGCCCAGCUAGCAUAUCAUAGCUAUUUGUCAGCUUCAGGUUAGGUAACUUAGCUAGCUACAGUUGCUAGUCAAGGUUAGAAAGCUACCUAGCUAAUCCAAACAAAACUCAACAUACUACAUGGAAAGUAUAUUCUGUACAAUGUGAUAUGGUAACUAGUUAGCAGGCCUAACAAUAACGCCAGCUAACGUUAGCUAGCUAUGGUUAUGGCACUGCAGUUAGCCAGCAGGCCAAAAUGCGAACUAACUUCCUCGUUCAGCAGAAUUCAUGUAUCCCCAAAAGAAAACGAAACUAAAUCAACGGAAAACGUACCUUUCUCUCUCCUGUCUUGACGUUUUUGCCUCGUCUUAUAACACGUUUUUUCUUGUGCGACAAUCUACUAGACUAUAUACUAGACAUUUAUAGAAUAAAUCAUACAUAGUUUGAUGUUUCUGUGAUUUCAAUAUAUCUGUAAUAAACGGUGAAUUAGUUAUUGUUUUAUACAGUUUUAAAUUACAUUUGAUAGAUUUAUGUAUUUCUAUCAAGUCAACUGGAAAUUCUACUCAAAACAGAGGUUGUAAAAGUAUGCUAGACAUUUAUAGAGUAAACCAUAUCUAUUUUCAUGUGACAAUCAAUUAAUUAGUUAUUGAUUUUUGCAAUUUUAAAAGUCUUUGGGCGAAUGAAUGAAAUAAAACGAACUUUACAUCG